CAGCACGUGCGCGCGCGCAUGCGCCAUAGCCACCAAUGGACUCUAUUUAAGCCCAUUGCAGACACUAUUGUCUCUGACUGUCAUGGCGUCUGCUGGACUUAUGGAGACUUCUCACAUGCAGGUAGGACCACUGGUUGUUGAUGUUUGGCUUAUUGUUUGUUUUUGGUGCUGUGCCUUUAUGCACACUUCACCAGACUAGCCAUACAUAUUAUUUAUAUAUACUCCUAAAUUCCUUUUUCCAGUGAUCUCUGCCUGCGAUCACCCAGCAAUCCACCCUUCCUGAAACAUAGGAUAAUCUGGGUAGUUUGUCUCCUUGUGGCUGAACUUUUGUUCUCUGGCACAUGCAUACCCUCUCCUAUAUGGAUUUCCAUAUCUGGCGUGGACCUUUUUGGUAGGCUAUGAUUGUAUAUCCUCCCCGUGAACACAGAGACAUUGAUCUCCAUAUACAGCAUUCUCCCCUUGUUUUUGGCAUACUUUCACACUGAGACAGGAUUCUAUCUACAGAUCUUAUUGACUACAUGUAUUUCUCUGACACAAUGAUCGUCUGUAAUACCCCUUGAAGAAGGAUCACAGAUACCGAAACGGCUGUCGGGUUGGACCAAUUUUUGUCUCAUGUCUGUUUUAUUGCUUUACAAAUAGGAUCUGUAUACCACUUGCAUGUGGUCUUUUAUCCUUGCUAGGACACUGUAUGAUGUCCUGACUUAAAUUGUUUAAAUAAAUUUGCUAUAUAUUUUUCUACUCAUUCACGUGUUUGUGUCACUUAUAAAGUCCCACCCUUGAGGGGGUAUUUCAUGUUUUUUCCAUAACUCUAGGGAUGUGGUGACUUACAAACACUGACAUUCUCCUGAUUGUGGGGUCCCUCU